GGCGGAGUAGCUCAGCUCGUUAGAGCAGCGGAAUCAUAAUCCGCGUGUCGGGGGUUCGAGUCCCUCCUCCGCUACCA
rnacentral:tRNA from 1 species